CUACCUUGUUACGACUUCACCCCAGUCAUGGAAUCCUACCGUGGUAAUCGCCCUCCUUACGGUUAGGCUAACUACUUCUGGUAAAACCCACUCCCAUGGUGUGACGGAGCGUUGUCGCCUGCAGACCCACGGGCAUCAUUACACGGCGCCAUUGCUGAUCCCGCGGGUCUAGCGAUUCCCGACUUCACGCAGUCGCGUUGCAGACUGAUCCGGACUACGAUCGGGUUUCUGGGAUUGGCUGCCUUCCCCCUCGCGGGUUGGCGACCCUAUGUCCCGACCAUUGUAUGACAUUGUGACCCUACCCAUAAGGGCCAUGAGGACCGACGUCAUCCCCACCUUCCUCGGUUUGUCACCGGCAGUCUCGAUGAGUGCCUUUCGUAGCAACUAAUGACAAGGACCGCUCGUUGCGGGACUUAACCCGAACCAUCUCCGACCCGAUGACGACAGCCAUGCAGCACCUAAUUCCGGUUCUCUUACAAGAAACACUCACCCAAAUCUCUUCGGGAUUCCAGACAUGUCAAGUGGAGUAAGGUUUUCGCGUUAUCAGAUUAAUCCCACAUCAUCCACAUGGUAACACGGAGUCCCCGGAAAUCAAUUCCGGCACGAGUUUUAAUCUUGAAACCGUACUCCCCAGGCGGUCAACUUCACGCGUUAGCUGCGCCCUGCGACCCCGAAGGCCCCAACAGCUGGUUAAGCAUCGUUUUGAGGCGUGGACUACCAGGGUAUCUAAUCAUAAUUUGCUCCCCACUUUAGUAUGACGUCAGUGUUAUCCAGGAGGCUGCCUUUGUGUCCGGUGUUCCUCCGCAUAUCUGCAUUCCUGCUACACGCAGAAUUCCACCUCCCUCUGACACACUCUAGCUCGGUAGUUAAAAAUACGGUUCAAAGUUGUCUGGGAUUUCACAUCUUUCUUUCCGAACCGCCUGCGCACGCUUCCGCCCAGUAAUUCGAUUAACGCUUGCACCUACGUAUUGCCAGCUGCGGCUUUGUGAUUAGCAAGUGCUUAUUCUGAGUACCGUCGUUGCCUGGUGUCCUCGUGCCGUUUCUUCUCUGCAGAAGGUCUUUUGUGACCUUCUGUCUUGCGGAUGGCGCCGGAUCAGGUUUCCCAUUGUCCAGUUCCCCACUGCCUUUCCACCGUGAGUCAGGCCGUCAGUCCCAGUGUGGAAACAGUCGUCCUCUCAAACCUGGCUACGGAUCGUCGCCGGUGAGCCGUUACCCACCAACUUCUUUAAUCCGAUAUCAGCCGCUCUAUUAGUGCAUUAAAGGUCCCCACUUUCCCGAGAAGAGUAAUAUGCACGGUAUUAGCUACGCUUUCGCAUAGUUAUCCCCAUAAGGCGUUCCGAUACAUUUCUCACCGGACCUUUAUUUACUCGCCACCAGACCAAAGUCCAGCUAUGCCGUUCAGGCUUGCAUGUGUAAACAUCCCACCCCUUCAGCGUUCAAUCUGAGCCAGGAAUCGAACC
rnacentral:rRNA from 1 species